CAUGCAAGUCGAACGGAAAGGCCCUUCGGGGUACUCGAGUGGCGAACGGGUGAGUAACACGUGGGUGAUCUGCCCUGCACUUUGGGAUAAGCCUGGGAAACUGGGUCUAAUACCGAAUAAGACUACGCGAUGCAUGUCGUGUGGUGGAAAGCUUUUGCGGUGUGGGAUGGGCCCGCGGCCUAUCAGCUUGUUGGUGAGGUUACGGCUCACCAAGGCGACGACGGGUAGCCGGCCUGAGAGGGUGACCGGCCACACUGGGACUGAGAUACGGCCCAGACUCCUACGGGAGGCAGCAGUGGGGAAUAUUGCACAAUGGGCGCAAGCCUGAUGCAGCGACGCCGCGUGAGGGAUGACGGCCUUCGGGUUGUAAACCUCUUUCAGUAGGGACGAAGCGCAAGUGACGGUACCUAUAGAAGAAGGACCGGCCAACUACGUGCCAGCAGCCGCGGUAAUACGUAGGGUCCGAGCGUUGUCCGGAAUUACUGGGCGUAAAGAGCUCGUAGGUGGUUUGUCGCGUUGUUCGUGAAAACUCACA
rnacentral:rRNA from 1 species